rnacentral:rRNA from 1 species
CCGCGUGAGGGAUGAAGGCCUCUGGCCUGUAAACNUCUUUUCUCAAGGAAGAAGAUCUGACGGCCCUUGAGGAAUAAGCCACGGCUAAUUCCGUNCCAGCAGCCGCGGUAAUACGGGAGUGGCAAGCGUUAUCCGGAAUUAUUGGGCGUAAAGCGUCCGCAGGCGGCCUUGAAAGUCUGUUGUUAAAGCGUGGAGCUUAACUCCAUUUCAGCAGUGGAAACUACAAGGCUAGAGUGUGGUAGGGGCAGAGGGAAUUCCCGGUGUAGCGGUGAAAUGCGUAGAUAUCGGGAAGAACACCAGUGGCGAAGGCGCUCUGCUGGGCCAUAACUGACGCUCAUGGACGAAAGCCAGGGGAGCGAAAGGGAUUAGAUACCCCUGUAGUCCUGGCCGUAAACGAUGAACACUAGGUGUCGGGGGAAUCGACCCCCUCGGUGUCGUAGCCAACGCGUUAAGUGUUCCGCCUGGGGAGUACGCACGCAAGUGUGAAACUCAAAGGAAUUGACGGGGGCCCGCACAAGCGGUGGAGUAUGUGGUUUAAUUCGAUGCAACGCGAAGAACCUUACCAGGGUUUGACAUCCUGCGAAUCCCUUGAAACGAGGGAGUGCCUUCGGGAGCGCAGUGACAGGUGGGCAUGGCU